UCUGUGUGUGCAGAAAUUCUCUCUGGAUCUGAGCAGAAGGCAAAUGCAGGGAUGAGAAAGGACAACAAAGGCCAUGCAACUUUCUUACAGGCCCAGUUAUCCAAAUGUUGCAGAUGCUGGGAAGAUCCUGACUGCUGGAAAUAUCCUGGAACUGGGGAAGAUCUUGAAGACCAGAGAACUGCAUGGAGACAAAUCUCAGGGGAUGCUCAGGGACCUUGACCGGUGUCGAGGGGUUUGAUUGCGGGGUGACAAUAAAACCCUGGUAGAUGUA